CCUACGGGAGGCAGCAGUGGGGAAUCUUGCGCAAUGGGGGAAACCCUGACGCAGCAACGCCGCGUGGGUGAUGAAGGCCUUCGGGUCGUAAAGCCCUGUCAGGUGGAAAGAAAUGUGUGGAUGCGAAUAACAUCCUCACUUGACGGUACCACCGGAGGAAGCACCGGCUAACUCCGUGCCAGCAGCCGCGGUAAUACGGAGGGUGCAGGCGUUGUUCGGAGUUAUUGGGCGUAAAGCGCGUGUAGGUGGUUGGGCAAGUCAGAUGUAAAAGCCCUCGGCUUAACGGAGGAAGUGCAUUUGAAACUGCCCAGCAAGAGUACGGGGGAGGAGAGUGAAAUUCCGGGUGUAGAGGUAAAACUCGUAGAUAUCGGAAGGAACACCAGUGGCGAGGGCGGCUCUCGGAACCGAUACUGACACUGAGACGCGAAAGCGGGGGGAGCAAACGGGAUUAGAUACCCCUGUAGU
rnacentral:rRNA from 1 species